rnacentral:tRNA from 1 species
GGGGAUGGGGUGAUGGCACAGUGGUAGAGGCAUCUGCUUGGACUGCAGAAGUUUCCAGGUUAAGUCCUUGGCAUCUCCU